UACGUAGGGGGCAAGCGUUGUCCGGAAUCAUUGGGCGUAAAGCGCGCGUAGGCGGCCCGAUAAGUCCGCUGUGAAAGUCCAGGGCUCAACCCUGGAAAGCCGGUGGAUACUGUCGGGCUAGAGUCCGGAAGAGGCGAGUGGAAUUCCUGGUGUAGCGGUGGAAUGCGCAGAUAUCAGGAGGAACACCAAAGGCGAAGGCAGCUCGCUGGGACGGUACUGACGCUGAGGUGCGAAAGCGUGGGGAGCGAACAGG
rnacentral:rRNA from 1 species